rnacentral:rRNA from 1 species
AUUGAACGCUGGCGGCAGGCCUAACACAUGCAAGUCGAACGAGUGGCGGACGGGUGAGUAAUGUCUGGGAAACUGCCUGAUGGAGGGGGAUAACUACUGGAAACGGUAGCUAAUACCGCAUACCAUCGGAUGUGCCCAGAUGGGAUUAGCUAGUAGGUGGGGUAAAGGCUCACCUAGGCGACGAUCCCUAGCUGGUCUGAGAGGAUGACCCACCACACUGGAACUGAGACACGGACCAGACUCCUACUGGAGGCAGCAGUUGGGAAGAUUGCACAAUGGGCGCAAGCCUGAUGCAGCCAGGCCGCGGGUAUGAUGAAGGCCUUCGAGUUGUAAAGUACUUUCAGCGGGGAGUCGUUACCCGCAGAAGAAGCACCGGCUAACUCCGAGACAACAGCCGCGGUAAUUC